rnacentral:rRNA from 1 species
GACGAACGCUGGCGGCGUGCUUAACACAUGCAAGUCGAACGGUAAGGCCCUUCGGGGUACACGAGUGGCGAACGGGUGAGUAACACGUGGGUGAUCUGCCCUGCACUUCGGGAUAAGCCUGGGAAACUGGGUCUAAUACCGGAUAGGACCACUGCCUGCAUGGGUGGUGGUGGAAAGCUUUUGCGGUGUGGGAUGGGCCCGCGGCCUAUCAGCUUGUUGGUGGGGUGACGGCCUACCAAGGCGACGACGGGUAGCCGGCCUGAGAGGGUGACCGGCCAAACUGGGACUGAGAUACGGCCCAGACUCAUACGGGAGGCAGCAGUGGGGAAUAUUGCACAAUGGGCGCAAGCCUGAUGCAGCGACGCCGCGUGAGGGAUGACGGCCUUCGGGUUGUAAACCUCUUUCAGCACCGACGAAGCGCAAGUGACGGUAGGUGCAGAAGAAGGACCGGCCAACUACGUGCCAGCCGCCGCCGUAA